UACGUAGGGUGCAAGCGUUAAUCGGAAUUACUGGGCGUAAAGCGUGCGCAGGCGGUUUUGUAAGUCUGUCGUGAAAUCCCCGGGCUCAACCUGGGAAUGGCGAUGGAGACUGCAAGGCUAGAGUUUGGCAGAGGGGGGUAGAAUUCCACGUGUAGCAGUGAAAUGCGUAGAUAUGUGGAGGAACACCGAUGGCGAAGGCAGCCCCCUGGGCUAACACUGACGCUCAUGCACGAAAGCGUGGGGAGCAAACAGG
rnacentral:rRNA from 1 species